UACGUAGGGCGCAAGCGUUGUCCGGAAUUAUUGGGCGUAAAGAGCUCGUAGGCGGCGUGUCGCGUCGGUUGUGAAAGCCCGGGGCUUAACUUCGGGUCUGCAGUCGAUACGGGCAUGCUUGAGUUCGGUAGGGGAGAUCGGAAUUCCUGGUGUAGCGGUGAAAUGCGCAGAUAUCUGGAGGAACACCGGUGGCGAAGGCGGCAUCCUGGACCGACACUGACGCUGAGGAGCGAAAGCCAGGGGAGCAAACGGG
rnacentral:rRNA from 1 species